rnacentral:rRNA from 1 species
CUUGACCUCAAAUCAGGUAGGACUACCCGCUGAACUUAAGCAUAUCAAUAAGCGGAGGAAAAGAAACUAACAAGGAUUCCCCUAGUAACUGCGAGUGAAGCGGGAUGAGCUCAAAUUUUGAAUCUGGCGGUCUUCCGGCCGUCCGAGUUGUAAUCUAGAGAA